UCGCUCCUACCGAUUGAGUGAUCCGGUGAAUAAUGCGGACUGCAGCAUCUGUCAGUUCCUGAAAGAUGCAGCAGAAAGUUUGGUGAACCUUAUCACUUAGAGGAAGGAG
rnacentral:rRNA from 1 species